CAGUGCGAUCAUACCAGCACUAAUGCACCGGAUCCCAUCAAAACUCCGCAGGUCAGCGUGCUUGGGUGAGAGUAGUACUAGGUUGGGUGACUUGGUGAGAAGUCCUCGUGUUGCACCAC
rnacentral:rRNA from 1 species